rnacentral:tRNA from 1 species
GGAUAGCUCAAGUGGUAGAGCGCAUGCUUAGCAUGCAUGAGGUCGUGGGUUCAAUCCCUGGUAUGUCCU